CUUUUCAAUAAUUUAUUUUUAAAAGUUAUUUUAUUCCUAAACAGUAGAGUUCACAUCUUUUUCUGCUAAGUUCUUCCACAAGCUGGCAAAGGAUCCAAGAUGUAGCCUGGCAUUUAUCUUUGUUCUCUUUGCCACUCUCAUGGAAAUAUGGUGAAUGCAGUCCGUUCUUAACGGUCGUAUUUAGCCUCGGUUCUGUGAAUUCGAUUUUCUUUUCCUUUUUAAAGGCGAUAGAGUGGGAUCCAAUAGACGUUGGAGCUGACUCUGAGCUUUUUUGACUUGUACGUGUCACAUCUGAAGGCAAGUUCCCUCGUGCUGGAUGAAAGCUAAAAGGCUGGGUGCCCGGUUUACCAUCAGCUCAGGGCAGAAUAAUGAUGCGAGGCCUGACAUUUAAUACACCAGUGAUCCCAGAUAUUGCUGCUGAAAGCUUUCUCCACAAAGCAGGAACCAGAAGAACCUUACGGCAGUGUCUGACUUUAAUUCACAAGUGAGGGAGCCGUGAGGUGAGGGUCAACUAUCACGUGUCUCUUCAACACAAGGGAAAGAACUGCCCAGCAAAGAGAACCCUAUGUAUGUCAUAAAUAUGAGCUCACAGAGUGCGUGGACCCUUUCAACGCAAUGUCAGAGGCUGCCUCUGCAGAAUUGUUUUAGAUAGGUUUUUAACCCUGUGGGACCCUGCCUCAUGGGAACAGUGUCUAUGCUGCAGUCUCUAAGCAAAGAAUAGACUGGGAUGCCUUUUAAGUGGGCACUGGUGAGAAAUCAUGGAGCACAACUAAAAAGAAAAAAGAAAGCUUUGAAAAUUUCAGCUCUGCAGAGACUGUGGGAGGAGAGGAAAUCCUACCUGUAAAAUAAAAACUUGUCUUAAAAAAUAAAUAUAAGGAGAAACUAAAACCUAAAGUGGAGAAAUGAGAUACUGGGCUUGAUUUCAUAUGCCAUCCUUGCCCGCAAUGAACUGGUUAUCUUAAUGGAACACAAUAAGUUAAUUUAUCAUGCUGAUAUUCAAAAAACAAACACGAUGAUUAGCUCAGGUUCCCUUAAAAUAAUUUCCUUUUAAUUACACAUAAGCAGAUACUUAUUAUGCUGAAUUAAUUAAUCUUAGAAUAAAUUAAUCUUAAUGUAUACUGAUACGGAGCAUUAUUCCA
rnacentral:lncRNA from 1 species